AUCAUUCAGACAGGAAGUCUCCUAGCUAGCCACCAACAAAAAAGCUCCUUUCCCCUGCUUCGUCGUUUUACGGAACUCUCUCAGCCCUAACCCUAUUGAGCAGAUGUCUUUUGUAGCCUGCCUGAAAGGUCAUAAAAUCUGGACUGUUGCGGACCAAGAUGAGGAACAAGUUUCAGAGUCCUGGAGCCCUCCCAGAGAACAUGCUGCCAGCUACUGCCUCUCUUUUACAACAUAGGGAUCCAACUUGAGUGCCCCGGCUGAGUACCACGGCUGCAGUAUGGCCCGGGGACCGAGGCAAUCCCUCAGGUUGCUUUUAGGGCCAUGAGAAGAUAGCUUCCUGUCUCUAAUGAGGUAAGACUUGGCAGCUGAGAACUCUAACAAGCUGCAUCCUUAUUAAUUAAGUCUCUUCUCUCCUCUGCCUUUUCUUUUCUCUGUGUUGUUCAGUUUCCUUUUGUUGGUUGGCUAAAUUAACUGCUGGGCAAAUUUAUUUUUCAGCUUGCUUUCUGUAGGCUUGUUACCUAGCUAUGAGCAUGGCUUUAUCGAUUCCUCUGUUGUUGCACUGAAUCGGAGACGGAGUUGAUUUGCUGGAGAGAAGAUCAGCUUGGCCUUUGGUCUUUUUACACCUCUUUUGAUCUCACAAUGACUGAAGGCCUGAUCCAACAUACAUAUAGUUACUGGGGGUCUUUCCAUUAACUUUAACAGGAGUUGGAUCAAGUCCCAAAUGCCCUGGAAUUUGUUGCCCUGUGGUUUUAUCUUCUGGAAUGCUAGAGCUGUGAUAUUUAUUAACAAGUGUUCGCAAAAAAGAAUUGCUGUUAUUUAUGUUUAAAGCCAAAUAUAGCAACAUCGCUUUAAGAUGCCAGAACAGUGCCGCUAUUUUACAAUACAGCAGAAUACAGUGGUGACGCAUACUGCUGAAAUUCCAAUUAAAAAGAUAUGACCCUAUUUCAGAGUACCUGAGAAUAAUAGUGACAUUUAUUUACCAUAAAAUACAAUAUGUUCAAAAAGGAUAGAGGUGUUUAUUUUACAAUCUGUAUUUAUAAGCUGCUGUUUUUUAUGUCUAAAAUAAAACACAGGAGGAGUAUUGUUAUUGAUACAAUAGAAUGGUUGGUGUCCUUUCUGGUAUAGUCAAAUACUUCCGACAAGAACAGAAUGGAGAUGUUUAUUUCAAAAUUGCUAACAAGCAGAAGCAAAGUCCUCAUCUUAAGAAAAUCUAUCCCUGCCAGUUAUCAGCCAGACUAAAACUGCUCUAACAUUUGGAAACGUUGCACAAACUUUGUAUAAACUGCAAAAAUGUAUUUAAAAAAAUAUUCUCGUAAAGCAUAUCAAA